CAGCACCCAUGGGCACCACAAAUGAAAAUCUGGGCCGGCGUUCUCAAUCAGUGACAUCACUAGUUAAGGAAUUCCAAACAGGACUGUGGGCGAGGCGUUUUUAGGCAGUUGAGAAAAAGUGCUGUCUGUGGAAAAUAAAGAUUCAUUAGGAGUGA